GACGAACGCUGGCGGCGUGCUUAACACAUGCAAGUCGAACGGAAAGGCCCUGCUUUUGUGGGGUGCUCGAGUGGCGAACGGGUGAGUAACACGUGAGUAACCUGCCCUUGACUUUGGGAUAACUUCAGGAAACUGGGGCUAAUACCGGAUAGGAGCUCCUGCUGCAUGGUGGGGGUUGGAAAGUUUCGGCGGUUGGGGAUGGACUCGCGGCUUAUCAGCUUGUUGGUGGGGUAGUGGCUUACCAAGGCUUUGACGGGUAGCCGGCCUGAGAGGGUGACCGGCCACAUUGGGACUGAGAUACGGCACAGACUCCUAAGGGAGGCAGAAGUGGGGAAUAUUGCACAAUGGGCGGAAGCCUGAUGCAGCAACGCCGCGUGCGGGAUGACGGCCUUCGGGUUGUAAACCGCUUUCGCCUGUGACGAAGCGUGAGUGAAGGUAAUGGGUAAAGAAGCACCGGCUAAAUAAGUG
rnacentral:rRNA from 1 species